rnacentral:rRNA from 1 species
AGCGAACGCUGGCGGCAGGCCUAACACAUGCAAGUCGAACGAACCUUUCGGGGUUAGUGGCGGACGGGUGAGUAACACGUGGGAACGUGCCUUUAGGUUCGGAAUAACUCAGGGAAACUUGUGCUAAUACCGAAUGUGCCCUUCGGGGGAAAGAUUUAUCGCCUUUAGAGCGGCCCGCGUCUGAUUAGCUAGUUGGGUGAGGUAAUGGCUCACCAAGGCGACGAUCAGUAGCUGGUCUGAGAGGAUGAUCAGCCACAUUGGGGCUGAGACACGGUCCAAACUCCUACGGGAGGCAGCAGUGGGGAAUCUUGCGCAAUGGGCGAAAGCCUGACGCAGCCAUGCCGCGUGAAUGAUGAAGGUCUUAGGAUUGUAAAAUUCUUUCACCGGGGACGAUAAUGACGGUACCCGGAGAAGAAGCCCCGGCUAACUUCGUG